UCAUAAGCCCCUGGGGGACUGGCGAUACUCCUACAUGCAGUAACCCGGCCCAGCACCUCUGUUGUCAAACCAUCUGUCCAUCCAAAUGACAGACAUCUCUGCACUGACCCCCCUGCUCCCCAACCAGCUCCUCCUGGACUCUCUACAGCUGAGCUGGACCCUGCCCUGGCCACUGGGUACCUUUCCUUGGAAUCAGGUGCCCAGUCAUUGGCUUUGGUCAUAUUGGAGAGGAUGAGCCAAUCUACCCAGAAAUCUCAUCUGCUGGGGAACACCCUGGUACCUGGCAGGUUCUUCCCCUGACUGCUUUUCUUGCCUCAUCCUGGACCGGGUGACUCAGAGGCCCCGAGAACAGAGAGGGAUAUUUUCAGGAUCUUGUCAGGGAAGGAGACAACGCUGGUGUCCUGUAGCCUCACCACUCAAAGACUCCUGACCUUAGCCUUGUCCCCUACACAUGUCCACUGAGAUAAGACCUUAGCCAGAUGUCUGUCCGGGCACCAGCUGGCUUUGCCCUUGGUCUGUGCUAGCUCCUCCUGCAGGUACUUGUGUCCAGCCAUAUGCCUUAGACCCAUGUGCCUUCCUCCAGGGUGCCUGUGCAUCCCUGAGACUUCAUCCCUCCUGGCCACCUUCUGGGAGUGACCAGUCAUGGUCACCCCAUACAGUCUGAAUCUGGGAAGCCUCGAGAUGGGCCUCCAUUCCAUACUCUUGUGCGAUGCAGCCAGCCCAGAGGUAGCCAGGGUGAGCUCCUGCUUGGGUCCCUGAUAAUCAAAUGUUUCCAGUGGCUUGAGAGCAUGUGGGGUUUCCUUUCAAGGACAUUUGCCAGGGGUCCGCAUGGAGCUGGUAUAGCUGUCACCAAGGGCUACCCUCAUCACUCUCAGGGGCAGGCACCAGUACCAGGCCGGCUCUGUCCUGCUUCCUUUCAGGGUCCAUGUUGCUUCCCAGGGAGCAGGGCUAGACUGCAAAUGUCCCGAUUCUGCUGGUUCUAUACUGUGAGGCGCAUUUACUGCCACCUGAGAAAAUGCCAGAUACCUACUCAAAGUGGCCACGGAGGGAGGUGAGGGGCGCACUGGAUUCUCAUUCCUAAUCUAACGAACUGCCAGCGACUUGUCGCAUGGUUCUGUGUGAUGCCACUGGAGGGAGUAGUGACUCCGGUGCCCAGUGGUUGGGUUUAAAUGGCUUUUUGUCUCCCCCACCCCCCAAGGUGGUCACCCAAAAAAACCAUGUAAAUUCUCUAACCUUUCAUGUCUAAAAUGGUGACGAUUCCCUCAUGUACCCGGAGGAUCAUUGAGCUAAUCCCUGUGGAUUUCAGAUAAACGAUUGGAAAUGUCACCUGUUUGUUUCUCAACCCUGUGUGCUGAUCUUAUGUGUCAGCUUUGCUGGGCCACAGUACCCAGAGACCUGGUCAACCAUUGUGGAAGGUGCCUUGAAUGAGAGUAAAGUUUAAAUAAAUGAGCUCUUAAAUUUUU
rnacentral:lncRNA from 1 species